GAUUAUGGCUCAGGAUGAACGCUAGCGACAGGCUUAACACAUGCAAGUCGAGGGGCAGCAUAAAAGUAGCAAUACUUGGUGGCGACCGGCGCACGGGUGAGUAACGCGUAUGCAACCUACCUAUCAGAGGGGAAUAACCCGGCGAAAGUCGGACUAAUACCGCAUAAAACAGGGGCACCGCAUGGUGAUAUUUGUUAAAGAAAUUCGCUGAUAGAUGGGCAUGCGUUCCAUUAGGUAGUUGGUGAGGUAACGGCUCACCAAGCCGACGAUGGAUAGGGGAACUGAGAGGUUGGUCCCCCACACUGGUACUGAGACACGGACCAGACUCCUACGGGAGGCAGCAGUGAGGAAUAUUGGUCAAUGGGCGGGAGCCUGAACCAGCCAAGUCGCGUGAAGGAAGAAGGAUCUAUGGUUCGUAAACUUCUUUUGCAGGGGAAUAAAGUGCAGGACGUGUCCUGUUUUGUAUGUACCCUGAGAAUAAGGAUCGGCUAACUCCGUGCCAGCAGCCGC
rnacentral:rRNA from 1 species